rnacentral:rRNA from 1 species
CUGAAUAACUACGCAGAUCGCAUGGUCUCGAACCGGCGACAUAUCCUUCAAGUGUCUGCCUUAUCAACUGUCGAUGGUAGUUUACAUGACUACCAUGGUUGUAACGGGUAACGGAGAAUUAGGGUUCGACUCCGGAGAGGGAGCCUGAGAAACGGCUACCACAUCCAAGGAAGGCAGCAGGCGCGCAAAUUACCCACUCUCAGAACGAGGAGGUAGUGACGAAAAAUAACGAGACAGUUCUCUAUGAGGUCUGUCAUUGGAAUGGGUACAAUCUAAACCCUUUAACGAGUAUCUAUUGGAGGGCAAGUCUGGUGCCAGCAGCCGCGGUAAUUCCAGCUCCAAUAGCGUAUAUUAAAGUUGUUGCGGUUAAAAAG